rnacentral:rRNA from 1 species
GACGAACGCUGGCGGCGUGCUUAACACAUGCAAGUCGAACGGAAAGGCCCUGCUUGCAGGGUACUCGAGUGGCGAACGGGUGAGUAACACGUGGGUGAUCUGCCCUGCACUUCGGGAUAAGCCUGGGAAACUGGGUCUAAUACCGGCUAGGAGCCAUUUUUAGUGGGAUGGUUGGAAAGUUUUUUCGGUGUAGGAUGAGCUCGCGGCCUAUCAGCUUGUUGGUGGGGUAAUGGCCUACCAAGGCGGCGACGGGUAGCCGGCCUGAGAGGGUGGACGGCCACAUUGGGACUGAGAUACGGCCCAGACUCCUAAGGGAGGCAGAAGUGGGGAAGAUUGCACAAGGGGCGCAAGCCUGAUGCAGCGACGCCGCGUGGGGGAUGACGGCCUUCGGGUUGUAAACUCUUUUCGCUAGGGACGAAGCUUUUUGUGACGGUACCUAGAUAAGAAGCACCGGCUAACUACGUG